CCUCUUUAAGAAGUUUUUUUUUUUUUUUUCACGGUAACUGUUCAGACAUGGGAGGUUAUUUUUAUUUUUGUUUAUUCCCGCACGCUCCUCAUAGAGGAGAACAAACAGGAAAUCAUCCGGGCCAAAAACCCCAGGCACGUCGUCGCAAGCGAGGAACGCCACGAUGUCAGCGGUAACUCCGGGAUCACGCAAACACCCCAAGACCAAGAUGGCGACUCCACCGAUGCCGAAAUCAAGUCAAAUUAAAACUGAAGC
ensembl:lncRNA